UAUCUCAGUUGGUAAAGAAUCUGCCUGUGAUUCAGGAGACCCAGGUUCAAUUCCUGG
rnacentral:tRNA from 1 species